ensembl:snRNA U6 U6 spliceosomal RNA
GUGCUUGCUUCAGCAGCACAUAUACUAAGAAUUUGAAGGAUACAGAGAUUAGCAUGGCUCCUGCACAAGGAUGACUUGCAGAUGUAUGAAGUAUUUCAUAUUUAU